rnacentral:lncRNA from 1 species
AUUGAGAAGGUACAAAUUACAAUAUCGAUAUUUUGUCUUCGCCUCUUUUCUCUUUUCUUUUUUUCCGAAACCCUUCGGUCGUUCUUUCGUUCUAAUGUAAGGUUCGUCUCCUUGUGAGAUUUCGUUGUCAUCUUGUGCGGUCUUUGUCUCCUUUUUUAGAUUCAUCACAACAAUAACCAUGUCAAAGUAACUUGAGUUGAAAACAGAAUCGACGGAGCUCAGCGCGACGUCCCCUGAGAGGAAGACCGACAUCAGUGGCAGUGAGCAUCCGAUCGGCGUUGCGACUGCCCGACCCCCGACUGCAGCGGCCCAUGAAACUGUGACGGCCUUGUCGUAGACUACUCUGGCCCCGUCGACAGCACUCGUCCCGAUGGACUCGGCGGAGAUGACCGCCGAUGAGUUAGCUGCAGAUGGAGAGAUUAGAAGACCCUUGAAAUCUCCACGGAAACUUAAUCAUCAUCAGGGUCUCAAAGAACAGGCGAGUCAGCGUGAAACGACUCGCCUAGCUAUGUAGGGAACUAGGCUUUGGUGGACUACUGACCUAUCCACAGCGGCGAAGAAAAGGCCGACUACCCCCUCCCAUUACCUUUCGGUUUUAAUAAAGGUUUUGGUCCGUACUGUCUCUUAUUUGUUAGGUUGUGUUGCAAACUUUGUUGAUCACUUUGAGCUGUUUCAUCGAGUCAGGAAGUAGUGUUUUACUUUAGUUUCAAUAUCAAAUUUAAAUCCGAUCACGAUCGUGAAAAUUAAGAAUGUGAAAUAAUCUAACUAAUUCAAUUAUAUAUUUUUCCAUUAUUAUUUUUAUCUUUCGAUUAUGCCAGUUGUAAAUCUCAAAUUUUUUGCUUUAUAAAUGCAAAUCUUCUCAUUUAUAAAAAAAAAUGUGUAUGAGGCCGGGGAUAUUAUUUCGUUUUAAGUCGGUACUUUUCUGUUUGUGUUUUUUUUCUUCCAGCAGUUUUAUG